CGCCGCCAUCUUCGUGGCCCGCUCGAUCAAGGUCGUGCCUCAGCAGCAUGCCUGGGUGGUCGAGCGCCUCG
rnacentral:tRNA from 1 species